rnacentral:rRNA from 1 species
GACGGAGGGGGCUAGCGUUGUUCGGAAUGACUGGGCGUAAAGGGCGCGUAGGCGGUUUAUUAAGUGAGGCGUGAAAAGCCCUGGGCUUAACCCAGGAGGUGCGUUUCAUACUGGUAGACUUGAGUACGAGAGGGGAAAAGCGGAAUUCCUAGUGUAGCGGUGAAAUGACGCAGAUAUCAGGAGGAACACCGGUGGCGAAGGCGGUUCUCUGGGCAUUACCUGACGCUGAGGAGCGAAAAGUGUGGGGAGCGAACAGG